UCAUCCCAUCGGAAUUAAUUCCAUCGCCCAUGGAUUAAGCCCAUCCUUAUUCACAAGCUCCCAGCCGAUUAUACAACUCAUCCCUUGUCUCUUCUUCGGAGCAGAAUCCCAGCAUCUUCAAAACAGAAACCAUCUUCCCAGCCACGUUCUUCCCUUCCGCAUCCAAAGCUUCCACAUCGUUCCAUCCUUAUCCUAUCUCCCAACCAACUCCAAGCUUGAUCCCAUUGUGAUCUUCUCUUCUCCUGUUCGGAUCAAGCAACCAAUAUUCCCCUGUUUCACAUCCCGUUUGUAAUCAUGCUCUUCUCGAUUGCAUCCCAUGAUUCUCUCCUUCCUAGAUUUCCUCCAAAUCUAGCAACACCCUCCCAGCCGUUCCAAGCUCCCGAGUUCAUCCUUAUCCACGGAUUCAUCCCAGCGUCCGUGAGUUCCUCCCAGCAUCCUCCUCUUCCAGCUUGAUUCUAGCUCCCCUGUUACGCGUAGCAUCCCGUCUUCAUCACAUUCCGAACUCCCAGAUUUCUUCCCAACAGAUCAAUCCUUCAUCUCUUACUAAAAAUCUCUUCUUCCCAACGUCAUCGUCAACUUCUCAUCCGAACCAGCUUAAAUUCUUAUCCCAGACAAGUUUAUCUUCUCAGAUCACAUCUCCCAGCUCUCAUCUUGUUCCAGGUUCAUCCUUAUCUCACGCCCACCUCCCAGAUCUCCAGCCAACGGCAGCACAACCAACCUCCCAACUCCACACUCCGAGUUCAUUUUCUUAUCCUCAUCUUCCUCUCUCCCCCUGUUCCACGUCCGCAGCUUCAUCCUCCCGAGCUUCACGGCACAUUCCCCUGCUUUGGAUAAGUCCCCUCAUUCACAGCAAAUCCUUCAUCGGCCAUGGAUAAGUGUAGCUCCUACCAGCCUCCGAGAUUCUCCCCAGCGAUCGAAUCAAAGCCCCAACAGCUUCCGGAUCAUUUCACAACCGUUCCCAAACCUCAUCAACUUCUCUUCAUCCGCAUCUCCCCUGUUUCGGAACAUGAGCAAUAUCCUCAGCCGUAAACACCAACCUCAUCAACUUUCUUCCUAGAUCUUGCUGCUCAUUCCAGUUGUGAUCCUUAUCCACGAACCCAGCGUCAUCAUCCUCUCUCACAUCCAUUUCCUCCCAAACAAUCUCCUUCUGGAUUUUCCCAACCGAGUUCAUCCUAUCUUACGGAUCAGCCAUUAGCCAUCAACCGUACGCGUCUUCCCCGCGUUCACUUCCCCUGCUUCAGCCACAAAGGAACAGAGAUCUACUCCCGGAUCCCAUGAACAAAAACCAAGCUAGCUCCAUCCUUUCGCGCGAUCAGAUCCCAGCGAAUCUUCUUCCCAACAUCCGGAUUAGAUGUAGCUCCCAUCAUCUGCGGAAGAGAUUAAGGUCCCUUUGGACCAGGGCUAUUUGAGGAUGAGAGUGGAUCCUCAGUUGACGGUUACAUCAAAUUGGACUAUCAAUGUUUCAGAUGGAGCAACUAUAGCUGAUCUUUGUGUCAGCAUUACACCAGUUGAGGAUUACCAGCUUCCUCCUGAAGCUUACCAGUGUGAGAUGGAGCGUGAGGUGAUGCAGAGGCAAUUGGAGCAGGAGAGGAGAGAGCGUGAGGAGGAAGGAAAAGAGCGAGAGGAAGAACAGAAGCAAAUUGCACAUCUUACAAGUUUGGUGACAGAGUUCUUAAAGAAAAAGACUCAAAUGCACAAGUCAUCUAUCCAUCAUGAUGGGGCCAUAUAUUCAACUGGUGGUACAAAUACUCAUUAAUACAUGGUGGAGUUAUGAGCAUGUGAAAUCUAGUUUUUGGUACAUGGAUAGCUUUUGUUCAGAUGAUCAUGGUGGAGUUGUCUACAAGCAGAAUCCAGUUUUUGAUAUAAGAAUAUUUUUGUCUACAUGAUGGUUGUUUGGAUGAAUAGCAAGAUCAGAUAUUUUGGAAUUUUUAAUUUACAUUUUGAUGUAUUUGGUGAUAAUUAUCACCUUAACAUAUGGUAUGGAUGAAACAUUGUGAUGUAUGGUAUUAAUAGGUAUACUUGACUUUAGACUUAUAGAUGAUGAUAUUUAUAAUGAAUGAUUAUGGAUUCUCCAACAUUGU